GGGGAUGUAGCUCAGUGGUAGAGAGCUCGCUUCGCAUGUGAGAUGCCCCGGGUUCAAACCCCGGCAUCUCCA
rnacentral:tRNA from 1 species